rnacentral:rRNA from 1 species
UACAGAGGGUGCGAGCGUAAUCGGAGUUACUGGGCGUAAAGGGCGCGUAGGCGGUUAUAUAAGUGAGAUGUGAAAUCCCUGGGCUUAACCUAGGAACUGCAUCUCAUACUGUAUGACUGGAGUAUUGUAGAGGGUAGUGGAAUUUCCGGUGUAGCGGUGAAAUGCGUAGAGAUCGGGAGGAACACCAGUGGCGAAGGCGGCUACCUGGACCAGCACUGACACUGAGGCACGAAAGCGUGGGGAGCAAACAGGG